UGUUUCCGUUUUACAAGCUGCAUCAUUCAUUUUAUAUUUUGCUUUCAAUCCAAGAAGUUGUAAUUGAAUCUUUAAAUAACCAAAACAUCUUUACCGAAUACCACAAAAAAUGUGUGAUCAAAUGAAAAACAAAAUACAUGUUUAUAAUGUCUACAAACUUAUUUUCAAUAAAUUCAAUGCUGUUUAAGGAAAUAUGAUUUUGCUAAACAAAAUGUGAUCUAAUGUGACUACGCCGCCAAUGUCAGAAAUGGCAGCAUUUGAUGUGAUUACAGGCCAAUUGCACAAUUAUGUCUAAAUAAAGGCUUUAGCUGAAAAGUUUUAACCUUAUGUUUUGGGAAGCUAAAAGGAAGAUGUCAGCUGAAAGUAUUGCUGGUUCUAUGAACAAGUGAUAACCUGUAGAGAGGAAACGUGUAAAGUUUUCAUAAAACCAGAAAAUUUUAAAAGUUUGCAAAUAAAUUCCUAAGAGAACUUUUUGAAAUCCCUCUGCGGCUGCUUAUUGUCAUCAUUUUUAAAAAAAGAAAAUCUAUUAAGAAUCUUGGCACUCACAACAACAUAUACGGAAAGCUUCUAAUUGCAACAAAAGUAAUUGCUGCACUAUUACAACGAGAUCAAUUUGUACCGACUAUCUCCUAAAACCUAAAUUGCUGCAGUAACCUUGUUCUUUAUAAAUAGUUGAAAAAUUAUAACAAAAUAAAUUUCAAAGAAAACAAACAAAA